UAAUGCCCCUCAAAGACCUUAA
rnacentral:miRNA from 1 species